GUCUGGAGGAAACUAAGGAGACAUGAUGACUAAAUAUGGUAUCCUGGAACAGAAAAAGAAUAUUAGGAAAAACUAAGGAAACAUGAAUAAAGUAUGGACUUUAGCUAAUAAUAACAUAUCAGUAUGGGUUCAUUAGUUGCGACAGGUGCACCAAACUAAUGUAGGAUGUUAAUAAAAGUGAAACUCAGUGUGGAGUAUAUAGAUACUCUCUGUGUCAUCUUUAUAACUUUUCUGUAAGUCUAAUACCAUUGUAAAACUAAAAUAUAUUUUUUACAAAACUGACUCUAGGGCUACAAGUACCAUCACAAAAAAGGAUUUCUCAAGUCACUAGAUACAGCAACUCUAGCUAUAAUGUGAAAAAUAAAAGCACCUCAUGCAUUCCUGUGCUCUACUAUGCCCAAAUACAGAUGAUUCAUAUAUACAUAUCACUUUAUUUCACCAGACUGUCAACAGCAUGUUUGUGAAGAUAUUCAUCUAUUCUGUCUACUGCUGUAUCAGUGCUUGGCACAUACACUCUUCUUUCUGGGAGGAAACUAGACUGCUUUAGAAAUCACUGCAGGAAUCACAGAGUAAAAUGGAGAAGAACCCAGGGAUGUGUCAUAACACAGUAGUCUGAAAAAGGGCCAGGUAGAAGAGUGGGAAGGACUAUGCCUCUGGCAAGUGCAAGUUCAUAAAUUCCAGUUUCUUCAAGUUACGAGGCACAUCUGCAUCCCCAGAUGAUGGCUACUGGUCAGAACACUGAACUCAUACCAAAAGCUGCUGUUGUUGACAGUUUAAUGUCUAUGGAUCUGACUCGGAGAGAAAUGUGCCACUUACUGAAUCACCAACACCAUAUCUUUGGUGUUGAGGUGGGGCACGCUUACUUUUUCAUCUGAAGAUUGACACAGCCCACCAAGAACAUUUGAAAGAGACAGGAUUGCUGCUGAAAAGGCAUGACAUCAAGCCACACAAAUUGGAUGGUAAGACUAGAGAUUAACUUGUGAACAGGUCGUAUGACGAGAGCUGAAACGUACAACUGGAUCUUGGUCAUGCCAUUCCUCAAAGGAGACUAAGAAAUCCUGAAUUUUUAAUUUAUGCUUAAUAGCCAUGGCUUUGUCUCUACAGAGUGUUUGUGAUACAUUUCUAAGCAUUGGUAAAUUAAUUCUUACUGCACCAACUUGGUGGAAAUCUGUUCCAUCAGAAAGAGUUAAUACAUCCAAAGAGAUAGAAACACAUUUAAGACUAACUUUCACAAGUUCCUGCUUAGCUAAGAAUGAAACUAGAAAACUUUAUUUUGAGUAUUUUACAUUUCUGAUGGUACAGAAUCAACAGUUUGGGAAGCUUAAUACCUAUUUGCCAAGAGAAAAAGUCAGAAUUCUCUUUUCAGGUCUACAUUCUUUUAACUUGUCUCAUCUUUUUAUGUACCCUAGUAGUUUCAGAGAUACACUUGAAGAUAGAGCAAUUUCUGUUUUCAUCACUUUUAACAACAAUGGGUCUUUUUAUCAUUGUCAAUGAAUCAAUAUUCAGCCAGUGCUCCUGAGGAGAUGAAAAAUUCCACCGGCAAUUAUCUUACAGAGUCACCAUGAUUACUAGGUUAUAUGGUUUGGCUGUGCCCCCACCCAAAUCUCAUCUUGAAUUCCCAUGUGUUGCGGGAGGGACCCAGUGGGAGGUAACUGAAUCAUGGAGACAAGUCUUUCUUGUGCUGUUCUUAUGAUAGUGAAUAAGUCUCAUGAGAUCUUAUGGUUUUAUAAAGAAGAGUCCCCCUGCACAAGCUCUCUCUCUCUUUGCCUGCUGCCAUCUAUUUAAGAUGUGACUUGCUCUUCCUUGCCUUCCGCCGUGAUUGUGAGGCUUCCCCAGCCAUGUGGAACUGUAAGUCCAAUUAAACCUCUUCUUUUGUAAAUUGCCUAGUCUUGGGUAUGUCUUUUAUCAGCAGCAUGAAAAUGGACUAAUACAGUAAAUUGGUACUAGGAAUGGGGUGCUGCUGAAAGAUACCCAAAAACGUGGAAGUGACUUUGGAACUGGUUAACAGGCAAAGGUUGGAAUAGGUUGGAGAGCUCAGAAGAUGACAGGAAAAUGUGGGAAAGUUUGGAACUCCUUAGAGAUUUGUUGAAUGCCUCUGACCAAAAUGCUGAUAAUGAUAUGGACAAUGAAAUCCAGGCUGAGGAGGUCUCAAAUGGAGAUGAGGAACUUGUUGGGAACUGAGCAAAGGCUCAUAGGCAGAAGGGACUUGCCUUGUCUCAGAUGAGAUGUUGGACUGUGGACUUUUGAGUUAAUGCUGAAAUGAGUUACGACUUUGGGAGACUGUUGGGAAGGCAUGAUUGGUUUUGAAAUGUGAGGACAUGAGAUUUUGGAGGGGCCAGGGGUGGAAUGAUAUGGUUUGGCUGUGUCCCCACCUAAAUUUCAUCUUGAAUUUCCAUGUGUUAUGGGAAGGACCCAGUGGGAGGUAAUUGAAUCAUGGGGACAAGUCUUUCCCAUGCUGUUCUUGUGAUAGUAAGUCUCACAAGAUCUGAUGGUUUUAUAAAGAGG
ensembl:lncRNA novel transcript, antisense to FGF2